UUAAUUUAGAUAAUAAAAGGCUGAAAAUUCUGUGAGCGCAACUAGUAAUUCUAGUCACAACGCAGACUUAAUGGAGAGGGAACGGCUCAGCACAGAUUUAGCAAGUUCUUUUCGAAAAAAUUCAAACAAAACCAAGUACAAAUGCUCAAAAUACACAAACAACCCGAAAUGGCGACACAAUCACAGCGUGUGCUCACCCACACUCAGCCCGACGGCGCCUGAAUGGUCACGCUAUCGACAUCCCUGUUUGUACAAUGGUAGCACUGCCGGCGCACUCUCGACCCGACUAGAGUAGCAGCGGCAACACACAUGGCAAAUGCAUUAAUGACACGACCAUAGACAAUAGUCAUUGUAGAAGGCACAAGCGCGAGUUUUACAGUGCUGCCCGGACAGUGUGGCACUGUAGCAGCAGCAGCGGCGAUGCCAAUGGCUGUAGUUGGUAUCGAUGGGAAGUACACGCUGUCCUACGAUAAUUUGUAGGAUUUCAAAAUGGAUCUAUUGGAGCAUGAAAUAUGAACUAUUGUACCCGCAUUUUUCGGAAUUACUGGACUGGUUGGGCUGCUUGGGGAAUGUGCAUAUUAUCUUGGGUUUCUUAUCAGCAGCAUCCUAUGAAAAGUCACUAACGCUGAUCCUCUUUUUCUGUUAAUGUUUCUGUGGGAAAGUGUAAGCCAUCUGCAGAAUCAAGGAAAGUGAAAAGCCAUUUUAGGUGGAUUUUCGUUGCGAUUCGUGCGUUUCUAUACAGACCAUAUAAAAUUCCGACAUAAUUCUGCUUUGAGACUAUCACGAAUUCGCCUUACACAUACAAUUAGGAAACGAUGCUGUUAAUUUACUGCGACGCUGACAACAGCAGCUGACUUUGGCCAAAGCAAUUUAAGUAAGAUAA